UACGGGAGGCAGCAGUGGGGAAUCUUGGACAAUGGGGGAAACCCUGAUCCAGCCAUGCCGCGUGAGUGAUGAAGGCCCUAGGGUUGUAAAGCUCUUUCGCCAGGGAAGAUAAUGACGGUACCUGGAUAAGAAGCCCCGGCUAACUCCGUGCCAGCAGCCGCGGUAAUACGGAGGGGGCUAGCGUUGUUCGGAAUUACUGGGCGUAAAGCGCACGUAGGCGGCUAUCCAAGUUGGGGGUGAAAUCCCUGGGCUUAACCCAGGAACUGCCUUCAAAACUGGAUGGCUAGAGUCCGAGAGAGGUGAGUGGAAUUUCCAGUGUAGAGGUGAAAUUCGUAGAUAUUGGAAAGAACACCAGUGGCGAAGGCGGCUCACUGGCUCGGUACUGACGCUGAGGUGCGACAGCGUGGGGAGCAAACAGGAUUAGAUACCCUGGUAGUCCACGCCGUAAACGAUGGGUGCUAGUUGUCAGGCAGCUUGCUGUUUGGUGACGCAGCUAACGCAUUAAGCACCCCGCCUGGGGAGUACGGUCGCAAGAUUAAAACUNAAANGAAUUGACGGNC
rnacentral:rRNA from 1 species